rnacentral:rRNA from 1 species
GAGUCUCCUGAAGGAACGUUAAAGACGAUGACGUUGAUAGGCCGGGUGUGUAAGCGCAGCGAUGCGUUGAGCUAACCGGUACUAAUGAACCGUGAGGCUUAACCUUACAACGCCGAAG